rnacentral:lncRNA from 1 species
CCUAACCCAAUUGACAUCCCUAGAUAUGAGUUAGAGCUUUAACUUAACUCAAACCAUAGAAGAUUAUAAUAAUUCAAGGUCAGUCUAAUCAUAAAUUUAGGUAAAAAUUAUUGAAUAGUUUUUCUUAAUAUCACUUAUUUAAUUAUUUUGAAGAUUAGUUAGAAUUAUUAUGACUGCAUUUGAUAGGUUAGAUUGGGUAGAUU